GGGGUCACAAAGAGUCAGACACGAGGGAACAAUAACAACAACAGAUAGCUCUAUUUGUUGGUCCCAGGUUGAUAUAUCACUUGACUUCCUGCCAUCUCUGAAGAGGCAGGAUCACUUACAUGAAGUCAGGACACCUGGGCUUGAGGCCCUGUUUGGUCACUUGCUGUCUGUGGAGGUGACCUCAUGAUGGGCAAACAUCACGCCUCUCAUCGGAGCUCUCCCAAGAGGCCUGGCCCAGGACCUUCUGGAAGAGGAGGUGAGACAGAACGCAGAACUGGGCCAAUGCUGUCGAGUCCCAAGGCUGUGCUCUUCUUGAGUAUGAACGUGGGAAGAGUGGUCGGCAUGGCCCAGACUGAGGUGUCCUUUAGAGAGGUCCGUGUGGUUUGGCACUAUCUGGGCACAGAGUGGACAGUAUGAGCCCCACCCAGGAGUACCUGAAAUGUGGUGUUCCAGGAUUGGAAUGCUCCCAGUUGAAGGCUCUUAUUCUAGAUGGGGAAACAGAAACAAAAAGCAGAAAGGUCCCUUGCCUUCCAGGAGUUUACAUUCUACUGGGCCAUGUGGAAGAGCUGGAGAGGCUGCUGAGGAGG